GGAUUGUAGCUCAGUGGCAAAGUGCUUGCCUUGAAUGUGUGAGACCCUGGGUUCAAUCCCCAGCACCA
rnacentral:tRNA from 1 species